CUAUAAAAGGAGAAAACUUGGAGAUCAAUCUGCAAGGAGAGUCAAGCGUGUUGGGAUCAAAGAAGAGAAACAAGAGAGUUCUAUAGAGAGAGAACGAGGGAAGAAGAAACAGCUAUGUGUCGUUGCGGAGCAAACUGCACAUGCGGCUCUGGCUGCAAAUGCUCUGAAGGGCACUAUGAAACUGAAGGCUGCAAGUGCGGCAGCGGCUGCAGCUGUGAUCCGUGCACCUGCAAGUGAAUAUAUUCGGGGGAUCACACGAUGAUAUAUAUGUUGUUGUUGUGUUCAGCUGUAAAAUGAUGGUGCAUAUGUAAAGUUAUGAAACCCCUAUGUCAAAAUAAUUGGGCCAUAUGAGUGUCAUGUGAGUCCUCGGCCUGGGGCCUAACCAUAUGGCCAGGUGUGCUCUUUCGGCGCAUCUUCUAAAUGUUGUACUUGGUUUAUCUCUCGUUUGUCUAAGUAUGGAUUAAUGAAAUACUAGUUCUUGUUAGUA